AAGGUUGGUCUAACAAGUCUGAUACAGUCAUGAUAUGACAAGAAUGUUGCAAGGCUGACGACACAAGGUUCUAACAGUAUUGUUAUAUCAUGACUGUAUCAGUAUUGUUAUAUCAUGACUGUAUCGGACUUGUUGGAACAACCUU
rnacentral:miRNA from 1 species